UUGGUCGACCAAUUUGCAGCCCAGAAUGCCAUGAACGCCCAGCUGUUCCCGGGUGUUAAUCUCAGCCAGUUCCCCACUGCUCCAAUUCUGCCAGUAUUUCCCCCUUCUGAUCUAGAGAUGAGCGAGGAUGAUGAUGCUCCACCCGAGGCAUAAGCUCGUCAGGGAAGUCCUUUGUUUUAAUUUGAUUUAUUUUUCGCAUGAGGACAUUGCUCUAGAUAAGUUUGGGGGUAGUUAAUUUCUAUUUGAAUUAGUAGAUUGUUAAUUUGGGAUUUUUUUUAUUAUUUGUGAUUAAGUGUUGCAUUUUAGGAUUGCAUGUUAAUUCUAGCUGUUUGAUAGUUACGUAUGUUUGGGGCCAUUGAUGAAAUUAAAAUUGCAUGAACAAGUCUAGUAAGGAUGAGCUAGUGAUAUGAUUUUCUUGACAUGAUUUAAAUCUUUAUCUGUUUGACACUGAUAUUAUAAGGAUAACACGUUUUAAAAAAUGACCAUGUUGGCUAUGAUAGUUUAAAUGGAUAGAUAAUAGAGUUCUAAAGGAUGAAUGCUAGUGAAAUAGAGGAUCAAUUUGAAUAGCUAGUGAAGACUGAAUUGAGACAUAAACUCAAGUUUGGGGGAAAAAUAUUUGGAGUAUAUAAGCUUUGGAAAAAAAAAUAAAAUACUGUGGCAUGCUUGUCUAGUUUUGUGGCCUUUGUUACUUGAGUAAGUAAGCCCAAGGGGAUUGUGUCUACACCUAGCGCCCUAAGGUCUUAAUGGCUUGGGAGUCGUUGGUCGAAAGCUCGUUAAGGUAACAAUGAAAAGCCUAAGGGAAUAAGACAAUGCAUAGUCUUGAGAAAGAAAAAAAGAAGCAUAAGUAUUCCAUUUUGACCCUUGGACUUUGGUGAUUGUUUGAUUUCAGUUGAAUCAAGCUUAUUUGAUGAGUUCUCAAGUUUACACUGUAUGAUGCCUACUAAGAAAUUUAUUAUCUUUCAUAUUUUUGCCUUUCAUUGGAAAGCAUGGUUGUUGGUCACACACGCACGAUAUCAGUAAUAACAGAUUUAGAUUCAUUGAUUGUUGAGAUAUUAUUGAACUACAUUAACAUAAUGUAUUAGCAUGUUUUUGUGAUUUUUCUGAGGCCUAUGGAUAUAUGGUGUGCUAUUUAAUUGCUGGAAUUACGAUCGUAUAGAUAGUAGU
rnacentral:lncRNA from 1 species